CGGGAUGGCGUCGCGUUCACCGAAGGGCGGAGAAGGCAAGAAGUUCUUUGCCGGAUCCGCACAAACCCUGUCAAAUCUGCUUCGUGUCUCUUCUUCAUCGACGAAAUUAGUUCUCGCUGAUCGUGCCCAUUAUCGCAUCAGGGUUUCGAACAUUUCUUGGCUUCCGUGUGAGAUCGAUGAUCUUUGGCUGUAAAGAGGAGCAGCGUGGCGACAAGCUUCCAUAGCUCACUUUCUACCUCUGUCACAUCAUUCUCCUUCCAGGUGGGGCUAGAGGUGCGCACAAUGCGUUAACAUCAUCGUCAAAAGGAAUCCAUGGCUGACGGAAUAAGGGAAGUUGUUUGUUCCUCCAUGACUGAUGAAUCGAGGAUUUGAGAACCCAGACCUGGAGUAUCUGAUAUUGCCUGCCUCAGCCAUCUAUAGGGUUUGGUCGAAAGGUUCUCGAGGGAACAACAGAGCAGCAAGGGGUCCUAAUGCUACCGCCCCCCUACAAAGCAAGAGGUCCCUACUGUUUGCGGGUGAGUUUUCUCCGUCAUUGUUGUCACUGACAAGGAAACAAGUAGGGAAAAGCCAUGCGGCUGCCGACUUAUUAGGAGGGUAGCUAAUAUAAUUAAUUAUAUAUAUUUUAUGGGGAAUCAGAUACUGACAAUUAAUAAAUUUAUAAUAAUUUAAAAGGAAAUAAAGUUUUAA